rnacentral:rRNA from 1 species
UACGGGGGGGGCAAGCGUUGUUCGGAAUUACUGGGCGUAAAGGGCUCGUAGGCGGCCAACUAAGUCAGACGUGAAAUCCCUCGGCUUAACCGGGGAACUGCGUCUGAUACUGGAUGGCUUGAAUCCGGGAGAGGGAUGCGGAAUUCCGGGUGUAGCGGUGAAAUGCGUAGAUAUCCGGAGGAACACCGGUGGCGAAGGCGGCUUCCUGGACCGACACUGACGCUGAGGCGCGAAAGCUAGGGGAGCAAACGGG